CAUUCCGCAAUUACAUGAUGACCUACCACAACCCAUUACUUUAGGAAGAGCCGGAAGAGGAAUGGCAGCCCAUCAACCCUUACAAACAAGGGAAACUUCCAGGCAAAUAUGCACUGAGAAACCCGACAGAAGUGGCAAAAAUA
rnacentral:snoRNA from 16 species